AUUGAACGCUGGCGGCAUGCUUUACACAUGCGAGUCGAACGGUAACAGGCCGCAAGGUGCUGACGAGUGGCGCACGGGUGAGUAAUGCAUCGGAACGUGCCCAGUCGUGGGGGAUAACUACUCGAAAGAGUAGCUAAUACCGCAUACGAUCUAUGGAUGAAAGCGGGGGACCGUAAGGCCUCGCGCGAUUGGAGCGGCCGAUGUCAGAUUAGGUAGUUGGUGGGGUAAAGGCUCACCAAGCCAACGAUCUGUAGCUGGUCUGAGAGGACGACCAGCCACACUGGGACUGAGACACGGCCCAGACUCCUACGGGAGGCAGCAGUGGGGAAUUUUGGACAAUGGGCGCAAGCCUGAUCCAGCAAUGCCGCGUGCAGGAAGAAGGCCUUCGGGUUGUAAAAUGCUUUUGUACGGAACGAAACGGCUCUGGUUAAUACCCGGGGCUAAUGACGGUACCGUAAGAAUAAGCACCGGCUAACUACGUG
rnacentral:rRNA from 1 species